rnacentral:lncRNA from 1 species
UCUCUAGACUGCUUCCUCCAUUAAGUCUAACUUUAUAUGAGAAUUGGCCAAACUUGCAGGAGACAGUUCCGCUCCUGAUACUUGGGUUCCGCUCCUGAUACUUGGGUUCCGCUCCUGAUUAGCAGUAAGAAAUGGACUUCUCACAUGAGUGGAAAUCCUUGUUACCAAUUGGUGGUGUAUUGGGAGCUCCUCUUCUUCUCACUGGAAGCACAGUCACUUCCGUUCUUGGACCUCUCUGUUUCAACCCAAUACCAGACUCGUUAAUUCGACUCUCCAAUUCUGAAAUCAACACCACCAGAGCCGACUUUGCUGAUUCUAAUUUGAUUCAGUUGUUUCAUUGCAACUCCUCCUUUGUUUUCGUCUUCUUCGCUAAUGGUAGCAGUAUCAGCUACUUAAUCUUUCAGCAAAAACCUAAACAGUUUGUUAGUUGUGGUCGUCAUCCGGUUGAAGCUCU